UACGUAGGGUGCGAGCGUUGUCCGGAAUUAUUGGGCGUAAAGAGCUUGUAGGCGGUUUGUCGCGUCUGCUGUGAAAUCUCAAGGCUCAACCUUGAGCUUGCAGUGGGUACGGGCAGACUAGAGUGCGGUAGGGGAGAAUGGAAUUCCCGGUGUAGCGGUGAAAUGCGCAGAUAUCGGGAGGAACACCGGUGGCGAAGGCGGUUCUCUGGGCCUUACCUGACGCUGAGGAGCGAAAGCGUGGGGAGCGAACAGG
rnacentral:rRNA from 1 species